GGCAGGAGCCGUGGAUGGGUGACCUCCGCGGGUCUGUCGUUGAGCUGCGGCAGAGCCAGAGCGGGACACAGAGGACAGACGGGUGUGCGCCCCUGGAAUCCUCAUGCCAGGCCCAGCGACCCCGCCUGGAGGCUGCUCUUCCGCCGAGGCCCAGCCUGAGCUGGUUCAGGUCUGGAAGUCUUAGGCGGACCUGACCUGACGAGGUGUAAUGAUUCACGUGGCGGCUGCCUCUUGGCACAUUCCAGCUGGAGCCCCCAGUGCCAGCAGUCUCCGAGGGCACGUGCACCGCCCUGCUCUUCCCACAGGCCCCAUCCUCCAGGGACACAAGAGGCUGGGGCCUGUUCAGACCUGACCUGCUGCUCAGGACUUCAGUCUCUGGGUCUGCCCUCAGCAGAGGGGUAGCUCACGAGACAGAGACAGAGAAACAGUGCACUCUCCCAGUAGGGACUUGACACUGCAGCCCCAUCAGGGCCGCACACGAGCUGGGCGUGCCCAGGGACGGAGACCUGUGGAUGUGAACCCAGGACCUUUCCACGUGGUCACCCGCCCCUUCUGAGAUCACGGGACCUCAGAAGGACCCUCCUCACCCCUGGUAAGUCCAUCCUUCACUGUCGGAGCCAUCUCCCCUGGGCAGCCCUCCGAGACA